GGUACUGAGCGUCCACUGCAGAUAUAUAGAAGAGAUACCCCUGAUGAAGUCUUUUGUAUAAGACGAAACGCGUUGGGUUGUCUGUGUUGUGAAGCUAUCUCCGAACCAACUAUAAGGAGAAGGAGGAGAUUGUUGUGAUCCUUCAACAUUUGUAUUCAGCGCUAAGAGUCAUACAUCUUAAAGUGUGGAAUAAUAUAUCUCCUCUGUAUUAAUUUGAAUAUGUUUUUAAUAAAUGUUUUAUGAUGGAA